rnacentral:tRNA from 11 species
CGAUAACCGUUAUUCAGAAAUGCUAUUUAGCCAUAUUGAUCUACUUUUGCGAAGUGUAACCUUUCGAAUUAUACAAGCAAGGUCCUGCAUUUGAAACGCCCUUCAAUCGCUAGCAAUAAGCCCUAGCUAGCCUUUUACAUUGAAGGUUACGAGUGUCUUUCUCCCUAUAAACUUUGUCCCACUUGGGUCCUUUAGAGUUGAGGUAUCCGAAUUACAUUUUGCUCUUCGACUGGGACGCUACACGGAUAUCUAUCAUCUGUACCUGUGGCACGUAUUAAUAGCUCUGGGCACUUUCUUGCCGUAAAGUACUGAGUUGUCUUGUCAAUAAUCGGUGAUCUUCUCUACCCUAAGCCAAAUACGAUGUCACACUUGCAGAUCACCAAUAAGAAAUAAUCAAAUAACAGUAACAUUAUCAGUGUACGUACGUGAUUAAGAUGGCAAGUCGGCUUGGGUCUAGCUAUAUUAUAUAUACACGACAACUGAUUCAAAGCCAUACUUUGACGCGUACGGCUCAAGGAAGAUCUGUUAGGUGUAUGACGGUAAUAAAUAGCCAGCUACAACCACGUUGCAAUUCUCGUAGUAACAAUGGUAUCGUUGUCAAUACUGGCUACACCCUAUGAGAGUAUCAUCACCGGCUAGAGUAUCGCAUACGGGCAACGUGCCUAAAGGUUCGUUACUGUUCCCUUAGCGCACUGGGCUCGUAGCACAGUCGUGCAAAGUGUUUGAGAAGGUUCAGGCAAGCAGGACGACAGAAGAUGUCACACCUUCGCCGAUGUUAACCGGUGCAUCCACAAGAUGUUCGACAGGUACACAGAGCGACUCGCUGGUUAGCUGUAACAACGACCGCAGUCGAAAUUGUGAGCAGGAAGAACGCGAAACGUGUAGUACGUAACAAGCAACACAGGUCACACUUGUGCGUUUGGCUACGAAUAGCAUAUGGGUGCUUUGAGAGCACUAGUGUUGAGGAAACGGGCACGUGAUAUAUAUAGAAAAACAACAAUAUCACAACGAGCUGUCAAGUCAUUUGUCGCGAACCCCUGUUGUGCUAAGAUGCUUCGCUGCUACUGCUACGGGUGCUUGGUCUUCCUACACAAACCCGAUCUCCAUCAAGCCUUGAAUAGUAGAGAUCAAUAAUCUACGCGACCGACGCGUCGACUUUCCAAAGCCUCUUCACUGGGAGCCUGUGACGUUACAAUUACAGACAGAUUUCGCCACUGGCAAGAAUGACACUUUACAACAAAAUGGAUUAUUGAAGUUUGCUUUUGUCCGACUCAAAUAUACUGCCAUUCGAAAAUUGCAUGAGAAACAUCUAAGUUGGUCAGACAAAAUAGGCUUCAAUUGGCCACUUCGUGGGUACAAACACAUUUCGCUUUAUACCACCUGAGGUAAUCUUUUGCAACAACAACAACAGUUAUUUAUUUGAUUAGUUAAAGACUACGACUAUUCACGUUUUAUAGAGCAGGAUUAGACUGGCCUUGAACUAGUAGGACAGUGGUUAUUUUGGCCGGUAUUGAGCAAUGUAACAAUUCAGUGCGUGCAUUGUUGUGUACAAUAUCAUUGGAGACAACACCGCGUACACGCAGCCACUCUCGUCGUUCGGGGGGUCUAAACAUGGCUACGAACGACGAUAUGCGGAGGCGUGGAUAACAGCUGACUUCGUCGUUUUGGCUAAAUUUGUCGUGGCCCAACUAAGAUCCUUGCCAAUAUCGCUGUUACCUUGCGAUAAUCCCUAUUAGCUUUAGUCUUUGCCGAGCUGGUAGCGUUGAAUCGACACUCAGAUGGUGUUAAACUGUCUAUUUAACGAACGGCAGAUUAUAAGCACGCUUGAAGAAUAAGCCUUUACUGAUACUACAGCCACAUCGAACUGUUCUUGUUGGCGCACUCGCUGCACACAUAAGGCGGGCUUUUUAAACUUCGAAUUUCAAGUAACUAACGCGCGAGUAGCAGAUCCGUAACUUUAACCAAUAUUUAAACAAGCCAUUUGAAAACAACAAGAUGGCAACAACGCCUCUUGGCCAGGCUAACCUGAUUUUCCUACUCGUCCGUCACGCUUUUAGCUGCCUGAAUAAUCAUAGUAUUUAAUGGCAUGCCAAAACGACGACCUCUGGCUGCGGAUCAUCAGCACGACCACAUUUUCGGCGGUUGCCGCGCUGGCACUUUCCUGAUUCUGCUGUAGUCGAUCGGCGAGCACCGACCAUCGACCGUCGUCAUUUGGUCUGUCGAGAACCGAAAAACAUUUCGAUUUCAAGUAGAGCCUGGAGGAUAAUAAGCGGCAAAAGAAGCUGACGGGGAUAUGGCUCGAACUGGAAUAGCGAUCAAAGAAGCGGGAAUCGAGAAGCAGAUAUAAGUGUGCAAAAUUUCGGAACGUGCGCAGACUGCUGGCUCUGCAGUUACAGAUGCCACCGUUGCUUGUACGGCUGUUGAGGAUCAGCCAGCCGGCAUGCUGCUGGAGUUGCAGCUCAGAGUACAGGCGCCUAGCAUUAGUGACAGCGGGCGAAGGCGGGUAACUGUGCGGUAGCCUAUUUGUCAGAGCCGCUUGUUUAACUUGCUUAAAUCCAACAAACGAAAGCGGUAAAGAGAAGUAAGUCACAGUGAGGCAGACGUAUAUACUUACACAGGCUCUAUGUAUGUACGUGAGACGUACACAGACACACAGUCAGACACGCAAAGCCAGCGCAGCCAACAUGGUCAGGCCACUUUGCCCGAGCUAAACGGUAAACGGUCACGGCCACCAAGGUACACAUAGAGAUUUCGUUUACAUCCUCUCCCCACUUGCGCUGGUUAAACGGCCCGAACGACGAAUGUCUUCUGAUCACGAAAUCUGAGCAGCGACAAUUCCGAAUUACUGUAACAAUGGCGGCCACGGCAUUGACCCAGCAUGAUGGGACCAACGGUAACGGUGGCGAGGUCCAGGAAUCAGAUACCAUUCUGGCUGUAAAACACGACAGAAAAACAGACAACUAUGAGAAACAAAUACGUAUAUUUAGAGACUACUUAGCUAGACUUGCAUUGACUAUGACCAAUGGUCAGUGAUGUUUAGUAAAAGCUGCUCGCGUUACGAUUAUCUAUUCGGAAACGCAUUGACACAUACAUCAAAUGAUGUAAACAAACGAAUACAGCAGGUAACUGACUAAACACUAGCGUACAAAGGACAAAGCAUUGGUCGCAAGAGGAUGGAAGCAUUAGUGCCGAGCCGUCUAAAUAAACUAAAUGCGAUGGAAAACAAAGAAAGAUGGAGCGUGUGGGAAAACGCAGAAUAAACGGCUAUGGAAUAAUAAGGCGUGUUCGUGAAUCGAAUGAGGUUGAAGGUCCUCAGUUCCAAUAUCUCACUUCCUUGAUGAAAUCCAGUUCUUUCAGCAUUUCUGCUAUUUUUUUCAUAUCAAUUGUUCCGCCUGCUACUUUCCCUGCAACAGCGGCAUCUACAAUAGGCUAUGCAACGUCUGCAAAGCAAUCAGACAAAAGUCGAAGCUGAGGCAGCAUCAAGAAAAUGAACAAAUGAAAGUGGUACCAGGCACACGACAACCGUACGAGUGAUAAUAGGUUCUACGGUGGGCUUGCACCUUUCUCGCCAUUCUACUCCAUCGAUUUCACUUCUUCAUGGGGACUGCAACCUCCUCGCAACAGGAACGCACUCAAACGUAGAGGUCCCUUUUCUUGAGAAAAGAAGCACCGGCGCCGAAAGCACAAAGCGAAAAGAUGGGAAUACAACUUAAGAAGGGCAAUCAAGUUCAAAGCGUUUGAAACUAGGAAAAUGACGAACAACGCUUUUGCAAGAAGCGUUGGCAAAUAGAAUUCAAUACAAAAUGUGCUGCUAAUGACGUUAUUUCGGGAACGCCGGGUGCACCAAAAAGAUGGUGCAUGCCAUAAAAGGGGGCCUCGCACCAUAUGCGUCAACAUGAAGCUGGCAGAUUGCGAUCCGUGACAGUUAUAAUUCCCAUUAAUUUCAGUGGUGAUGCUCGUAGUAACUAUAAAUUUCGAAUCGCUAAUAAAUCCGCCACUAGAAACAUAACAGCUACAGCAUCCUGUCGUUUUAGGUCUUAGCGUGCCUCCGCCAGAUAGAGUUAGUCAUCUGGAAGCUUUGUUUUCGAACGCACAUGACUGUACAAUAUGGCUUUCCUAUGUUUACACUCCCACCAAAGUCGCCUCCGAGUCCUCCUAUUACGCAAUCAUUAAUUUUCCGUUGCUCUCGUCAUUCGUUUAAUUCAGGUCAUCCGUCAGCUGAACGCUGUCCAUAUUUAGUUAUGGCCAUUGGCGAUAACCAGCGGAAGUGUGUAGCCAGUCAUCCGGCAGUCAGAGGUUCAAAACAUUCUAGGGAGGGAGAGGAAACCGAAGAGUGAACAGAAAUUACUAGGAAAAGCUCAAUGGAGGAAGCAAACAGUCGCCAUUUUGGGAACAUCUAUCAGUACCAGCAUCUUUGCGUUACGAGAAGCUACCACGAAAUGGAGAAUAUCAUUCUGUGCGCGACUUGCGUUGUUGUCCUCGCAGCAUGUUGUCACUGGUGCCGGCGUCAUUGCUAUAACUUAUCAUGAAAGAAGAGCAACUAGCGGUUAGCAAACGAUAAACAGCCAAGUGUCAUUGAGCUCUCUGAUCUCCGUAAAAGAUUGCAAUCUAAUGAAUUUAUGCAGCGGUGGCUGUAAGCAUAGUCAUCGCCCGUCGCCACAACAACAGCAUCGUUAGCCGUCUGUUCGAAGCACUGAAGUCAUCACGACGGUCGGCAAGCACGCUGAAGCUCCUCGAUGUCGCUGUUUCGAAAAGUUCAUCGCUCGGGCGGUCGACUCUUCUCCGGAUUCGACCGUUUAUUUCGAUCAAACCGAUAGUGAAAUCGAGCGGCUCCGGGUGGGGAUCACCUUGAAAUAUCCGAAGAAACAGUUGCGUGGGAUGACGCAGGAAAGCAAAGGACUCAUCUCAGCUAUUAAAACAGCUGCGAUGCUAGUAGUCUUAACAUAAAGCCGCCCUUGUUAUAAAGCGCGUGAAGACCCGCUCUCCUGGGGAAUAGAAGCCGGCGACGCAGGCUGUACACUCAGUCUGUCGGAGUCAUUGACAGCUCUUCAAAGCAGCAUCUACUCAUGCGAUAGUGACAUGAGCUAUAACAACAGAAAUUGCAUCGGUGGCAAGGGUUGUCGGCAUCCCGCCAAAAAAGUCAGCAGAGCGCUGGUACAUCCUGUUAGAGAGGCGUAGGCCAAAGGUGCGAUUGCCUUGGGCCCGCUGCUGACGCCACUGCCGCCUUGUCCGGAACAAUCGCCCGCAGCCAGCAACAUCAUUCCCUUCGCUGUUUCAACAAGUCAUUUGUUCUUGUUGAUGUUUGUUUUUGUUGAAAAAGUUGUUGCUACGACGAUGUUGUUGCGCCUGUUCUGUCCAAGCAGCAGCAGCAGAAGAACUGUCGAAAACCACGAACCACGAAGCGCAUCAAGUAUGCGUGUCUGCCGCGUUGAAGAUACAUAGCCCGUUCCGGGCACAGCAGCAGCGACAGUUGAAGUCGCUCAAGCCAUAGUCGCUGAACUAUUUCGAUUCGCUGCACGCAACCGAAAGCGAUUCUUCGUCACUUGUUGGUGUCGUCGUCGUCGUCGUCGUCGUAGCUCUUGUUGCUGCUGUUGUGGUUCAUGUUUGCUCAGUGUGAUAUCUUGUUUAAGAUGAGAUUUAUCGCUCAUCUAACUCUACAGCGAUCGCCGCUGCUGCUGGAGCCGGCAAUAGCGGCCGUCGGCCCUUGAGUCGCUGUUCGGAACGUUUCUGCUGCCGAAAUUUAUGUCUCUAAAGAUCUCUCAUUCGUUUGCUGCUCCCUCUCUUUCUCUCCGUCGCUCAGCCUCAUAGACACGUACAUUCUGUUCC